rnacentral:rRNA from 1 species
GUUUUUUAGAAAUAAAUUUAAUUUAUAAAUUAUUAUAAUUUUUUUUUACUUGUUAAAUAAAAAAUUUUAUUAAUUUAAGUAUUUUAAGGGAUAAGCUUUAAAAUAAAUUUUUAUAAAUUAAUAAAUUAUUAUUUAAAAUAUAUGCGUAGAAUUAGCAAUUAUUAUUAAGUUUGUUUUAAAUUAUUUUAUUUUUAUUAUAAUUUAUUAUAUUUUAAUUUUUAUUUAUGAAAAUUUUUAUGUUAAUUAUAUAUAUAAAAUAAUAAUGAUAAAAUUAGUAUAAUAUAUAUAUAUGUUUUUUAAAAUUUAUAUGAUAAGUUUAUUUAAAGAACUCGGCAAAUUUUAUACUCGCCUGUUUAACAAAAACAUGUCUUUUUGAGUUGUUUAAAAAGUCUAACCUGCCCAAUGAAUUUUUAAUGGCCGCAGUAUAUUAACUGUGCAAAGGUAGCAUAAUCAUUAGUCUUUUAAUUGAAG